rnacentral:tRNA from 2 species
GGUAGUGUGGCCGAGCGGUCUAAGGCGCUGGAUUUAGGCUCCAGUCUCUUUGGAGGCGUGGGUUCAAAUCCCACCACUGCCA